rnacentral:tRNA from 1 species
GUCUCCAUAGCUCAGUGGUUUAGAGCGGCCGCCUGCAGUCAACGUGCGCGCACAGCGGCAGGUCACGUGUUCAAAUCACGUUGGGGACU